GCUGGGUAGAGUGGUGUACACCUGUAAUCCCAACUACUUGGGAAGCUGAGGCAGGAGAAUGGCAAGUUUAAGGCCAAUCUCAGCAACUUAGCAAGACCCUGCCUCAA
rnacentral:sRNA from 1 species